UACGAAGGGGGCUAGCGUUGCUCGGAAUUACUGGGCGUAAAGGGCGCGUAGGCGGCGCUGCUAGUCAGGCGUGAAAUUCCUGGGCUUAACCUGGGGACUGCGCUUGAUACGGCAGUGCUAGAGGACGGAAGAGGGUCGUGGAAUUCCCAGUGUAGAGGUGAAAUUCGUAGAUAUUGGGAAGAACACCGGUGGCGAAGGCGGCGACCUGGUCCGUUACUGACGCUGAGGCGCGACAGCGUGGGGAGCGAACAGG
rnacentral:rRNA from 1 species